CUCCUAAGCAACGGCAAGUGUUUCAAAAGGAUAAAUCAUGUUUUGGACAAGCCAAAAGCAAUGAGUGGAAAAACAACAUAAAAUUAGUGUGCGUUUUAAUAAAUGUUCGCUUUUCUUAUAUAACUACAAAAUCGUAUUAAAGUAUAAGUUAAAUUAGUUCAACACAUAAAUAAUGAUUAAAAGGCAUUGAUAUGCAGCAUAUAUAACUCGUUGGCGAUCGAUUGUGAAUGUGAAUCAUUAGAAUAAUUAGCAAGUGUGAGCAGCUGCUGCCUGGGGAGUGAAAAUGUGCAAAACAACGAUGGGGACCCCCUCCUAUAAAUAAUAUGUGAGAUACGCUAACAAUCAUUGUCAGUAAGUGGUAAAUUCUUUCAUAUUAUCGGACAUUUAUUUGUGUGCAAACAGUGUCUGCAUGAGAAAGAAGUGCUUCAACAAAGUGCCAAAGAAUAUCGUGGAAAUCGAGGACUUUAUUGACCCCAAACAUCAUUAAGAAUUUUAGUAAUGGAAAAUUAAUUUAAAAACAGAAAAAACAUUGUCAAUUAAGUCUAUAUUCAAACUGGCUCUUUAGAUAUGUACCAAUAAAAUAGAAUCUGUGAGCUCCUUGUCGUACUGUAAAGAUACGUAGAAAAAGAAAAAGAGAGAAAGAGAGAGAGAGGAAAAGAAAACGAGAGACACAUUCAAUAACAAAAUCAUCUCACAAUACCAUGAAAUCGCAAAAACAAAAUGGACAAUCAUUAUGCACUUUGUACAUAGGACCUUAUAAAGCUUAUGUAUUACGUAUAAUUUUGACGAAACUUCAGUUGGGUGCAAAUUUUGAGCGAUUAAUUUUUUUUUCAUUUUAUUUUUUUUUUUUUAGGAAAAUAGCGCAAUCUACAAGCUUAUGAUUAUACCUAUAUUUUCAGAGUCAGGUCUGUUCUCAUACACAAUUUAGAAUAGAUUUUUUUUGUCUCCGAUUGUCAUUUUUUAAAUGAUUUUACGGAUUGAAUCUGCUUCAAUUAUUAUAAAUUUAGAGAAUAAUUUGCAAAAGCUUAGCAAAAGCCUGAACAGAUCUGAAUGUAUCAGAAAUAAUAAUAAUAUAAUGGAAAUAUAAAACUAUGGAACGUUGAAAGCUUUUGUAGAAGCCACGUCUUUUGGUGUGGGCUGUAACUAUAAAUUCUCUCUAGUAUUAUUACAAUUCUACUACUUACCGUUGUUCUUCAGAGCGGCAUCUUUCUCGGCCGUGAAAAUAUUUGAGGCCAUGCGAUUCUUCAUGGUUCGUGGAGUUUGAGGCAUGUCCGAGCCAAAAAUGUCACUUGAACCGCCGCCUGGUGUCCUCAACACCCUGCAAAAAUUGUAGAAAAAUUAAAAAAAAAAAGUUAGUAUUACAUUUAUAUAAAGCAUUACUAAUAUAAAUACAUAUUACAAGAGAAAAGCGGUUGUCCGUUGUUUAUUGAAGGAAAUCUGUAGACAAAAGUGCAACAGAGUUGCGCGCUGCGUCGCGGAAGUAACGUUUGCUGCAAGCUCAUUAUUAAUUAUGCAUAAACCAUGACAAGCGUGCCAAAUGAAAAUGCAUUUUAUAUACGCGGAACAGCCGAAUAAGACACCAGUCAUAAUUAUACUAUGCAUUUAUUGAAAAUGAGAGAAAAAAACUAUUAACCGUCGAGUCGUUUUAGCCAUAUUUGCUCGAACAAGUCGGACAACACAGGCAGAGAGAUAAUAAAUUGGUUAUGGAGUUGCAAGCAGACACAUCUUAGAUAAUACUGCUUAGCUGCAGCAGAUACUUCUGGAUGACACUGCUUAAUUUCACUGCUUGCAGUCGAAGAGUGCGCAAGCAGUUCAUCGACACCGAGUUUCCAAUGACUCACAAACUUUAUAAAAGAGAGUUUUAAAUUGUUUUCGGGAAUAACGGUUGACCUUUUAGCUUCAAUUUAAUUCCAUUUAAAAGCAAGAACAGUUUAGUAAAAUAAAAUGCGUUUUAAGGCGUCAGCACGUGGUGACAACAAAAUGCUGGCGCAAUGCAUUCGUAAUGGAAUAAUCAAUAAGUUUUUGGUAA